rnacentral:rRNA from 1 species
UACAGAGGGUGCGAGCGUUAAUCGGAAUUACUGGGCGUAAAGCGCGCGUAGGCGGCUUUGUAAGUCGGAUGUGAAAUCCCCGGGCUUAACCUGGGAACUGCAUUCGAGACUGCAUAGCUUGAGUAUGGGAGAGGGAGGCGGAAUUUCCGGUGUAGCGGUGAAAUGCGUAGAUAUCGGAAGGAACAUCAGUGGCGAAGGCGGCUUCCUGGUCCAACAUUGACAUUCAGGUGCGAAAGCGUGGGGAGCAAACAGG